UACAGACGGUCCCAAGCGUUGUUCGGAUUCAUUGGGCGUAAAGGGUGCGUAGGCGGCGCGGUAAGUCGGGUGUGAAAUCUCGGGGCUUAACUCCGAAACUGCAUUCGAUACUGCCGUGCUUGAGGACUGGAGAGGAGACUGGAAUUUACGGUGUAGCGGUGAAAUGCGUAGAUAUCGUAAGGAAGACCAGUGGCGAAGGCGGGUCUCUGGACAGUUCCUGACGCUGAGGCACGAAGGUCAGGGGAGCAAACGGG
rnacentral:rRNA from 1 species